GGAAUUGAAGAGUUGAAGAUUUGAGGUUUCCUACUUGAAGUAGGAAAGCUAUGCCUAAAAGUUUCCAUUUUGGGUCGAUCUUUCCUAAAUCGGAAUUGGCAACCAAAGUUUCUAAAAGUUGGAAGUUUCUAUUCUUGGAGGUUUCCAUUUUCGAGAGUUUCUAUUCUUGGCGUUGGGCUUUUAGAUGACCUAAACCCAAAUUUCCUUGUGGACCUUCAACCCAUGCCGAACCCUAGGGCCUAAUCAUCUAAAAUCUGCCAUGUUAAACCCUAGUCCAUUCCUCCUAAACCCAAGCCGCACCUUUCCAUCCUAGAAGCCUAUUUUACAAACCCUAGCCCAUGUUCACUUAAGUGCCGCACCUAACCCUAGCCCAUCUGAUUUCAUUAGGGUUUUAGGUGCUUAUAUAUUUGUGUUUUACCACCCUAGCCGAACUUCAUCUUCCCUCUCACUAAAAAUCAGAAAACCAUCUCCCUUUCCCCACCUUGCCGCAGCCACCAUCACCAAAACCAUCUCUUGCCGCAGCCUUUAGUCCAUUCCAGCCACCAUCCUCCACCUUUAGACACCAUUCCACACCUCCAUAACUCUUUCCCACACCUUGCCGCACCACCCUACCAUCCUAACUCCCUUCUAAAAACCAAAAACACAUCCAGCAAACUCCAUUCACGCCAGAACCUGUCCCUCACCUUUGCCGAGCCCAACCUACACCCAAUUCCAUAUUCUCUGCCCCCAAACCUUCCUAGCCGUGCCCUACACCUAUCCUAGAUAGUUUUCCACCAUUCUCCCUCAUCCAAAGUCAUCCAAAACCAUCCAAAAACCCCCUAAACCAACUCUGCCGCAACAAGGAGAAGAAGAAAGAGGAGCUUUCUGUGCAGAUUUCAAAGUGGACUUCUUUGGCGUUUUAGGUGUAAUCUUUCUUAUGUCUUUGAUGUUUCAAUUCAAUAAACUUUGUGUUGUGAGUAUGAGGAACUAAACCCCCUUAGUUGGGGGGUGAUUCGAAACCAUGUACAUGCUUGCAAUUUGAUUCGAUUACAUUCAGUUGUUAUUUCAUAAGUUGUGGAUUCAAUUCGUUCAUCUAUUUGAUUGAUACUUAUUUAUGUAUGUUGAUUGAGAGUGCACGCUUAGUUUUCAUGCAUGAAUAUGAUGCUAGAUUAUGAGGGAGUUUCACCUAAUAGUUACAAUCUUAUAAUCACAAGUAGUGAAGAUCGCUUGAAAACGAUCGCGUUGAAUGAAUUCUUAGCAUAAGUUUCAUGCAAUUCAUAGUAACAAAUGCUUCGUCAAUACUUAUGUUUUUCAUAGAACGUAAUGAUUCUUGCUUGUUUCUCUAUUAUGCAAUUCAUGUAGGGAACUUGUAGGGAAUGUUUUGGGUUGUCGUAUGCAAUCAUCCAACUUAAUAACUUGUGGAAAAACUGAGGGUUAAUUAGUGCAAUUCACAGUUAACUUGGGGCGUUGAGUAUUCAUAGUUUAUCGGAAGAACAACUGAAAAUCGUUUUGUUUGCAAGUGUGACAUGUGUGGAGAAGAACCUCCUAACUAGCCUUUUAUCCAUCCUUUUCACCAAAAUCGUUUUUACAAUCUGUGUUAAUUAAAGUUUCUGUUUUGUUUUCAAAUUCUGUCCAAAACUAUUCCCCCUUUAAUUUGAAGUCUUAGAUUAGUUAGAAAGUGUUUUGAUUUGUGUUUCUAAGUAUUUUGAUUCAAGUUUUCAUCAAAUUUCGUCCAAAUUAGUGCAGGUGCUCAAAACUGCCCAGAAAGUGGUUUUUAGGCAGUUUUGAGCCUUCUAGUUGCUGUUUUGAGUUUUAGGUUUGUUUAAGUGUUUUAACCUCUACUUUUGCAUUCUUUGAGUCUAGUUUAGUGUUUUAAACUUUGUUUUUGAGUUUUUAAGUCAGUUUCCAAGUGUUUAGCAAUCCCUCCUAAUCCCCGGUUUAGAACGAUCCCUACUUACAUCUUUGCUACAAUUUGACAAAAAGAGGGUUUAAUUUGUGUGCUUAAUAUAUUUCGCAUCACUAAACAAUAAAUUAAUUAGAUACUAGGCCUAAUUAGGAAAUAGUAAAAAAAAUACAAAUGGGCCAACUUGGCCAUUUGUUUUACAUGUCCAAGUAGCAAACCAACAAUACCAUAGUUUGCUUGCAAUACUAACAGCCCACUGCUAUCUUGAAAAACAAGUUGUGGAUUCCCGAGGUGCAAAGUUACCAUUUUGCCCCUUACCUUGAAACAUGCGCAAAUCAUUCACACACGUCAUUUUUAUGUCUUGUUCGUUUUCACGUGUGAUGACGAAUACUACUUAACUAAGAAUGAGAAAAAGACAAAUUAUUAGAAGAGUUUAGAGAUCCACGUAGUAUUCCCAUUUAACUCGUCAAAGGCAUUUUUGUAAUUU
rnacentral:lncRNA from 1 species